UUCGCUUCUAGAUCUCUUGGCGAAAAUUAAAGUGUAGUAUCUGUUCUUUUCAGCUUGUUAUCUGAAAGUUCCCAUACUCUGGGACCAGUAUAUUAAACUGAUUUUUGUAACUCUACGGGGUGUUCGGGGCUCGCUCCACUCCCGUCACGGGUCGGCCGCGGCCCGGCAUUGCAGUGCCGCCGGGAUCGGCCCACAUAAU